rnacentral:rRNA from 1 species
UACGAAGGGGGCUAGCGUUGCUCGGAUUGACUGGGCGUAAAGGGCGCGUAGGCGGUUCGUACAGUCAGACGUGAAAUUCCUGGGCUCAACCUGGGGGCUGCGUUUGAUACGUGCGGACUUGAGUGCGGAAGAGGGUCGUGGAAUUCCCAGUGUAGAGGUGAAAUUCGUAGAUAUUGGGAAGAACACCGGUGGCGAAGGCGGCGACCUGGUCCGAUACUGACGCUGAGGCGCGAAGGUCAGGGGAGCAAACGGG